UACGUAGGGUGCGAGCGUUGCCCGGAUUUAUUGGGCGUAAAGGGCGCGUAGGCGGCUACGCACGUCCGUUGUGAAAUCGCCCGGCUCAACUGGGCGGGGUCGGCGGAUACGGCGUAGCUUGAGCAAGCUAGGGGGCAAUGGAAUUCCCGGUGUAGUGGUGGAAUGCGUAGAUAUCGGGAGGAACACCAGUGGCGAAGGCGGUUGCCUGGGGCUUUGCUGACGCUG
rnacentral:rRNA from 1 species